GCCGGGCACAGUGGCGCACGCCUGUAAUCCCAGCAGCUUGGGAGGCUGAGGCAGGAGGAUUGAGGGUUUCAAGCCAGCCUCAGCAAAAGUGAGGUGCUAAGCAACUCAGUGAGACCCUGUCUCUA
rnacentral:sRNA from 1 species